CAUGUUUUCAUCUAGUAAUAUGUUGGAAGGCUUCAAAUCUCUAUGCAUAAUAGGUGGUUUACAUCCAUUAUGCAGAUAAUCCAAUCCUGAAAAUUCACACUAAGUGCAAUGUAAGGGUACACAAUGCAAGAAACUAGAAAGAUGUAGCCAUCUCAACAGUACAUUACCGCGUGCUGUAUCAAUUGCAAUGUUAAGUCUUUCUCUCCAUUUUAAGAUAUUGUAUUUUCCACUGCAUGCAAAUUAUAGGCAUUAGUCUUGAAACUCUGAAUAUUGCCCUGCCCUUAAUUACCGUAUUCAUAAUCCUUGGUAUAAUACUCGUUAUAACUAUUGUGUGGCGAAAUGCAUUCAUCAGUUCUUUAAGUUUUUUAAGUACCAAAUUGAUUUUUUUACUUUUUUUAAGUACCAAUUAUUACUUAAGUUCUAUUAUGGAUAAUUUUUUAAAUUUAUUCUUUCCUACGUUUCUCUUGCGUCCAAAAUGUCUUUUCCAUUUUAUCCUUAUGUUACUUAAGUAACGGAACUUAUAAGAAUGAUAAAUUUUUUUUUUUUUUNNNNNNNNNNNNNNNNNNNNNNNNNNNNNNNNUUUGCCAUUGUCGUCCGCUACAUAAACAGUUAGUGGUCAAUUCUGUCUCGGUCAAAACUCUGUCAAGUGGUCAAUUUUUGUGUGGCUAAAAUGUCUAUAAAUAGAGAGCUUCGUGAUGUUUCACACAUCUCCCACCUCUUGACUUGUAUAUGAUACAAACGUAAAACUUAAAAGACCUAUGGAUGCACUUAGCCUAUGUGUUAUAAUUAAACAAUUAUGUUACAACAUUCUCGUAUGUUACAUUAUUCUAGUUUUUGUUGUCUUUUAUGUCAAAUGAUCGUUCGCUACUUAAUAGCGGAUGACAAAAAUGUAAAAUUUCAAAUGGGGCUUCUGAUCAAAAGUGGUUAAAAAAUUAAGAAAUUUUUUUUCACCCGCCCCUUAAGUGACGGAAAGCAUCCUCUACCUAAGUAGCAGGCAUGGGCAUUUUUUUUUUAAUUUUGUAGAACACACGAUAAAUGGGGUAGAGGUGGCAAAAGUAAAUUUCUAACUUUUUUGGGUCUAGCUAACGAAUGUUCCUGAAGCACUCUGAUAUUCUAUUUAAAGAAUUUAUUAUUCUACAAAGUGAAACAUUUUAAUUUCUAAUACGUUGAUUUUACACAUUUUCAUAAAAAACUUUAUAAAAACUUGCUACUUAAAGAGUGCACAUGAGACAUUCGAUAUUAUUUUCCAAAUUCUUUUAAGGACAAUGAUAACAUGUGUCCAAAUAUUGAAUAGUAAGAGCAAAAUAUCAAGAAUGUUAAUAUUUGCACUAAGAACAUAUAUUAAGCAAGCAAAUGUAGAAACUACUUUUUUUGUAACUUGAAUAUUUUAAUUUUUUUAAAUAUUAAAUUUCUUUUAUUAUUAAAUUCAUAAAUUUAUGCUCCCUUCAUCCUUUUUAAUUAUAAGAUCUAAUUUGACAAAACAUGAGUAUUAGGAAAGUUUAUUUUAAUAUUAAAUUGAUUGAAAAAAUAUAUUUUCUCCGACCUUAUAUAUAGGCAAAAGUAUGUUGUUUCACACAUAUUUAGAAAUUUAUUAUUUUUACUAAAUUACCCCUUAUAAUAUAUUAAAGAGAAAUGCUCAUUCUUGCGACAAAUUGUUUCACGAGCUUAUCACGAAUCAACGUGGCACCAUCACAACCGCUUGUAUUCCUCUAAUAUGCGUGUAAUUUUAUUUUUAUCUCUCUCACCAUGUGUUUCUCUCCAAUAUUUCUUUUCAAUAUUUAUCUCUUCUUCUUCUUCCCCAACCGCUUCACCUGUCGUGCGUGCUUCACCUUCCAUGGCAUCUAUGUUUUGACAUAAGAAGAUUCACCUACCUCUAGCUGUGCUUGUGCAUAUUUUGAAGCAUUUAUAUCUUACUGUUGAGAAGAAAUUUGAACCCAAACAUAGAUAUCAGCAUCCACCAGGAACACAACAAGGUUUCAAACAAUCAAGUGUUUCAUGAACUGAUUUCUUGUUGGUAGAGCAAGCAUUUAUUGGUCAAGUUUUAUAGUAAGAAAAAAAGUGGAUCAAGCAUUUCAUGAACCAGUUUCUUUUUGGUAGAGCAAAGAAAUUUAAGGAUAUAAGGUUUUUUCUUAUGCAAAGCGAUAACAAAAUGAAUAAAAAAAGAGUUCGUGAAAUUUUCGUGAAACCCCCCUUCGCGAUAUAUAGCAUCCCUCUAUAUUAAAUUUGCAUUGAGAUUUGUAGUAAUGUUAAAAAGUGGUAACUUUUACUUAUAUUUGAGGCCACUUUUUUCAUUGACUUUGGCUUAUAAAUAAGGCUGAAGGGAGUAUUAAUUUUUCAUCUUUACAUUUAAUAAUGAUUUUUAAUAGAGAAUAUAUACCCACUUAAAAAAAGAAUUUAAUGCUAUUCAUAAAAGUAGGUAAAGAAUUUAGUGUAAUUUUGGGUCAAAAAUGGUUAAUGUCAUUGAAAAUUGCAAAAUGAUCUUAUAAAGAAUGAUUUUUUGUGAAACCAAAUCUUAUAAAAACUUAUAAAAAGGGACAGAAAGAAUAUUAUUAAGGACAUUUACUCGAAACACACAGUAAAGUAAAAAAUCACACAUUUACUGUUACAAAGAAGAAAAAAAAUCACACAUUUUCCCACACAAUACAAUACAGAACAUGCUUUGCUGGUUGGAAUUAAUUUACUAGGAUAUGUCCAAAAUACUGCAGUAAGUUAAUCGAAUUAUUGUCCACCAUUGGUCAACCUAUUUUGAUCAACUCCAAAAUCAAGCACGGAAAACACGAGGCAUGCGCAGGGCAUAAAAUAAACUUUCAUAGUGCCCACAUCUAUUUUUCUUUACAUGUUAAUCAAUACUUCGAGACACUAGUUAAGAAUAUAAAUAUGAAAAUUUUAUCUCGUAAAUUGUAAAUUUAAUGUUUUAACGAUGUAAAAAGUUAUUUUCUUUUAUCAUUAAUUUUAUCAUUUAUUUUUUUUAGUAUGUUUAACUAGUGCCCCAAACUCCUGGAACACUGUUUAACAUGCCAUUUUUUUUACAACUAAAUCGAACCCCUAAGUGCAUACCUCUUUUGAUUAAGAGUUUUACUUUUCAGGUAUACAUUUGCUACUCCUUGACAUUUUAAAUUUACCCAUCUCGCUAAUUGGAAAACGAGUUUGUAAAGUAGUAAAAAUUGAAGGAAAAAAAAUUGGCUUUCUAUAUAUUAAAAUGUAAAUUGAGGUUCACUUUUUACCUAGAAUGCGAAUCUUAUAAAAAUAAUUUUUUUUUUUUCCUCUUCAACUUUUUUUCAUCUUUCCAUGAAAUAACUUUGAAUGAAACAGAUUUCGCAAGUUAAAGUGUAAAUCAUUUAUUCACCUAAUUUUCUAUUUUCUGUCAAACUUAUCAACUGUUGAAGUUUUGAUACAUGUUUAUUGUAAGUAUAAAUGUAAACUUGGUCAUAUCGAAUAAUUCAGUAUAGUUAUGUUUACUGUGUGUGUGAUUGGUCGAUAAUGUCACAACCGCUCUAAUGGCAAAUUAAAAUAUGAUAUAAGAUCGUGGUCACAUUUUUAUAAGGUUCACUGGUUAAAGUGUAAAUUGAGUUCGCACUCUAAAUAGCGAACUGUGUUUCAGAUCGCACAAUUUACAUAACGAGUGACAAUAUUUUAUAUUCAAACUCAACGUCUACGCCCCCUAGAUGAAAAAAGAAAGCAAACUGCAAACUUAGUUCGCUUUCUAGAAAUGCAAACUCUUUUUUUCAUGAUUUUAUUCAAACUCAACGUUUGAUUUUUUUCAUCUAAUUGGGUGGCUAAGAUUUUAAUUUUUCCUAUCUUUGCAUAAAAUAAUCAAACGAUGAACACAACUUUCAAAAGAACUUUCCACCAUAUAAGUUAAUUUUAUUGUACACAAACGUGAUGGAUAUAUACACAAGCAUUUUUUUACCUAUAUACGGAGCGAUCCUUCCUUCUGGUUUCUAGGACUUUUCUAAUUAUACCGAAAUUUUUACUUCAUACCCCUCAAAUUAUACAUCUACCUCACAUUAUUUAUCGUAUUUAACGUAUCAAUUUCACAAAAGCAUUGUGUUUGUUGAAAACUACAUUGACAUAUGGAAUGAACUUAAAGAACGGUUUUCUCAUGGUGGUUUUAUUUGAAUUUUUAAAUUGCAAGUUGAAAUCUAUAUAUAAUCUAACUAGCGGUACACCCGUGCGACCGCACGGAAGUCUUGGUAACAUAAAAUAGUAAUUUAUUGAAAAAUAAAUUAAAAGAAAAUAGAAAUGAUAUAAUAUUUAGUAAAAAAAAAAAAUAGAAAAAGAAAAAUGAUAAAACCAACCAUCACCCAAAAAACCUUAGUAUCCCUAUAUCUUACAAAUGAGGAAAUAGUGAAAACUUAAACUUAAUUUGUUCACAUUUUGGAGCAGUGACGGUGACAGUGGAGAAUAGGAAGAGAUCACCAUAGACAUAUGGUAGUUACCUAGGAAAGGGAGCGGUUAUUGAUUGAAAUAGCGAUGAAGUCGAUUCAGUUACACCGUGUUCUCCUCCGUGUCUCUGAACCAUAUCCAAAGAUAGACUCUCCUUCAGUUCUGUCAAUAUUUGGCUAAUGUCCGGCCUUUCAGUGAAAUUUGGUGAAAUGCAUGACAUGGCUAUCUCAACAACUUUCCGUGCUGAAUCCAUGCUGAAUUCACCCUCCAACUUUGAAUCAACGACAUUUUGAAUAUCUCCUCCUUUGAUUAUAGGAACAACCCAUUCAAGUAUGUGAAUGUUUACUCCGGCUGCUCUUACUAUUGCUUGACGACCAGUGAUCAACACAAAUAGAACUAUCCCAAAGCUGUACACAUCAUUCUUUUUAUUUGUGUUUCCUGUUCUCUGAAAUCUAUUAACAAAACAAAUAAACUGUAAGUGAUCCUUAAGAGUUAAGAUUAUGUUAUAAUUUUUUUUCCAAUAUAUUUUUGUAUUACACAAAUUAUUGACCAAGAACUUGUUGAGAGUAUAUCCCCCAAAAAUUUUAUUUAGAAACAAUAUGGUUGAUUUGAUAUAAUUUGAUCUUUCAUGUUAGCACUUACUCAGGAUCCGCGUAACCAAGUGUACCGGCAGGACGCGUGGAUAUAUGAGAAUCAAAAUCACUACCAAAAGCUCUACUUAGACCAAAAUCAGAAAUCUUGGCAUCCAUGUUUUCAUCUAGUAAUAUGUUGGAAGGCUUCAAAUCUCUAUGCAUAAUAGGUGGUUUACAUCCAUUAUGCAGAUAAUCCAAUCCUGAAAAUUCACACUAAGUGCAAUGUAAGGGUACACAAUGCAAUAAACUAGAAAGAUGUAGCUAUCAAAAGUACAUUACCGCGAGCUGCAUCAAUUGCAAUGUUAAGUCUCUCAUUCCAUUUUAAGAUAUUUGUAUUUCCCACUGCAUACACAAAUUAUAGGCAUUGUCUUUAAACUCUGAAUAUUCCACCACCUAUAUUAUGGAUGCGGACAAAUUACUUUGGACAAGACAUAAAUUACCUAAUAAGUGUUGUUGGAGAUUUCCAUUGGCCAUGUAUUCAUAAAUCAAUGCUUUGAUUUCAUCUUCAUCACAAUAUCCAAUGAGAGAGACCAAAUUUCUAUGAUGAACAAUCAAUAGAAGUUGUGCCUACAUUUUAAAUUUUAUAUCCUACAAAGUUAACUGUGAAAAUAAUGCAGAAUUCAUAAUGGAAAUUGUUUGUUCAAAAGCAUUAAAA
rnacentral:lncRNA from 1 species